UCCUCGGUAGCUCAACGGUAGAGCAUCCGGCUGUUAACCGGAGGGUUGCAGGUUCGAAUCCUGCCCGGGGAG
rnacentral:tRNA from 1 species